AAAGAAACCAACAGGGAUUGCCUUAGUAGCGGCGAGUGAAGCGGCAAAAGCUCAAAUUUUGAAAUCUGGCACUUUCAGUGUCCGAGUUGUAAUUUGAAGAAGGUAUCUUUGGGUCUGGCUCUUGUCUAUGUUUCUUGGAACAGAACGUCACAGAGGGUGAGAAUCCCGUGCGAUGAGAUGUCCCAGACCUAUGUAAAGUUCCUUCGAAGAGUCGAGUUGUUUGGGAAUGCAGCUCUAAGUGGGUGGUAAAUUCCAUCUAAAGCUAAAUAUUGGCGAGAGACCGAUAGCGAACAAGUACAGUGAUGGAAAGAUGAAAAGAACUUUGAAAAGAGAGUGAAAAAGUACGUGAAAUUGUUGAAAGGGAAGGGCUUGAGAUCAGACUUGGUAUUUUGUAUGUUACUCUCUCGGGGGUGGCCUCUACAGUUUACCGGGCCAGCAUCAGUUUGGGCGGUAGGACAAUUGCAAAGAAAUGUGGCACUGCCUCGGUAGUGUGUUAUAGUCUUUGUCGAUACUGCCAGCCUAGACUGAGGACUGCGGCUUCGGCCUAGGAUGUUGGCAUAAUGAUCUUAAGUCGCCC
rnacentral:rRNA from 1 species